UAGCCGAAUACUGGGCACUGAAACUCGGCUGAGGACUUUAGAUCGACGCCCACCAAACUCUCUCCCCUCAGAAUGGUGCUCGAAUCAAGCCCUCUGUGAUGGAGAGAAGGUUUUCCAGUGAUGGCAACAGUUCCUAUGACAACCAGACCUCCACCGGGGGAUUGCGUCUGUCAGACAGUGCUAAUGAUAAUUGAGAGGCUGGAGUGGGCAGGCGUGCAGGUUUGGCCACAGGAAGACAUGAAUUCCUCAGAGAACAGAGGGUGUCAGGGUCCAGAACACAACUUGGGGGGGAGACAUACUGGACCUUGUAACGUCUAAUAAUCCUCCGAGUUGACCCCUGACCCCGGCCUGUGUUUGUAUCAGGUCAUCGACUUGAGAAAUCGGAUUGAGUCACUCCAGCAGUGUGUUUACCUUCUGGAGUCACGCAAGGAAGGAAAUAAGGCACGGUCUUCUAAAAGUGGCGGUGUGAGAGAGAAUAGCAGCAGUAUUAGAUCAGAGCCCUGAUUCAUCACACUGUGACUGGCCUCUUGUCCCGUUACACUGGGUUUAUUUAAUCUAUUCAUUACUGUAGGGAGACUAGCUACAGAUCAGCCAAAACAGGGAGUCAGUCUACAGUAUAGCGUACUGUAUGAAAACAUAAGGUAUGAGAUUAAUAGUGUAAUUCUGUAAUUGAAGUCUGAUUCACUCAUUGAGUGAAAUGAUCCGUGUACUGCAGUGAGGGUACAGCUUGUUUUUGCUAUCACUGUGUAAUAUGUUGCUAAUAGUCCGAACGUGUAUUAUUUUUGUCAUAAUAUUCUGCUGAGUGUGUUGCAGUCGUUCCAGUUUUUUGCUGUGCCCAAUGAAAUUAGGAGAGAUUUAGUCAUUUCCUUUCUCUGUCUCAUGCAACAAUCAUAAAUGAUAUGUGAAUGUGAUUUUUCUGUGUAAUAAUAAUUUAUUGCAAUACAUUUCUGACUCCCGGAUACAGAUUAUAUCUGGAAGAUCCCUUGUAAUACGCUUUAGAGGAGAAAUCGCUGCAUUCCCAAAUACAUUGUUUUUAUCUUGAACAUGAAACUGGAAUGAGUAUGGAACUGUGGCCAACACCUGUGAUUAAAAUACAAUGUCCGGGCCUACCAUCACGCUGUAUGUAGCCUUCCACACCGUGGGCUUGUGUGAUUGCACAAUUGUUGUUUUUGAGCAAGUGCCCCUGUUAGUUUUACUCUGUAAAUAAAGAUGUGCUCCGAGCUGACAAUUCAUCCU
rnacentral:lncRNA from 1 species